UACGUAGGGUGCAAGCGUUGUCCGGAAUUAUUGGGCGUAAAGAGCUCGUAGGCGGUUCGGUAAGUCGGGUGUGAAAACUUUGGGCUCAACCCAAAGCCUGCACUCGAUACUGCUGUGACUUGAGUCCGGUAGGGGAGUGGGGAAUUCCUGGUGUAGCGGUGGAAUGCGCAGAUAUCAGGAGGAACACCGGUGGCGAAGGCGCCACUCUGGGCCGGUACUGACGCUGAGGAGCGAAAGCGUGGGGAGCAAACAGG
rnacentral:rRNA from 1 species